rnacentral:rRNA from 1 species
GACAGAGGGUGCAAACGUUGUUCGGAAUUACUGGGCGUAAAGCGCGUGUAGGCGGUCUGAUAAGUCGGGUGUGAAAGCCCCGGGCUCAACCCGGGAAGUGCACUCGAAACUGACAGGCUAGAGUACUGGAGAGGUUGGUGGAAUUCUCGGUGUAGAGGUGAAAUUCGUAGAUAUCGAGAGGAACACCGGUGGCGAAGGCGGCCAACUGGACAGAUACUGACGCUGAGACUCGAAAGCGUGGGGAGCAAACAGG